rfam:TPA: Bos taurus chromosome 21, whole genome shotgun sequence.
UCCCUGAUGGUCUAGUGGUUAGGAUUCUGGGCUUUCACUGCUAGAGCCCAGGUUCAAUCCCUGGUGUGGGAA